rnacentral:misc_RNA from 1 species
GGUGAAGAACGUAGCGAAAUGCGAUAAGUAAUGUGAAUUGCAGAAUUCAGUGAAUCAUCGAAUCUUUGAACGCACAUUGCGCCCGCCAGUAUUCUGGCGGGCAUGCCUGUUCGAGCGUCAUUACAACCCUCAUGCCCCCGGGCCUGGCGUUGGGGAUCGGCGGAGCCCCCCGUGGGCACACGCCGUCCCCCAAAUGCAGUGGCGGUCCCGCCGCAGCUUCCAUCGCGUAGUAGCUAACACCUCGCGACUGGAGAGCGGCGCGGCCACGCCGUAAAACACCCAACUCUUCUGAAGUUGACCUCGAAUCAGGUAGGAAUACCCGCUGAACUUAAGCAUAUCAAUAAGCGGAGGA